rnacentral:lncRNA from 1 species
UUAUUCUUUCCAUUAUCUCUCCAUACCAACAUCUGACGUUUUGUGAGGAGGGAAAGCUCUUUCUGUUCCACCUGUCCCGGCUCAGCAGUGAGACUACUUGCAUAUGUGAAAUACGCCAUGGGACUGGGUAUCUUUCUCUGUACUUUUACACUAGCUACACAAACUUUACUCCUCUACAGGUCAGAGAUGCAAAAUCGGAAUGGACAUGGUAGAGAUGAGCAGGAUUUUGGAGCACCAAGAAGAUGGCAGGGUCUGGCUUCAGGUUUUGGAGGAAUAGGUGUAGCUGUACUUAAGAUCUGAGCAAAACACAAAUUUUGGAAUUCCUUGUGGAAGAACAGGCAGCUCUUGGGGCAGUGUGUGUCUGCAGCUGACUUAUCUGUGGGUGAGGACAGCCGCUGGGGAGCAGGUCAGACAAAUUGCUAUGUGAAUUCUGCCAGCAUCAGAGACACUGAAAUAUCUCCGGGUAAUGGAGGCAAGCACAACUGUUUGGUUUGGUUUGGUUUGGUUUUUUCUGGAUGGAGAACUGAGGUGUGAGCAGUGCUGGUGGUCAGAAGAGAGAAGGAGAUGGGUGGUCAGGAGAGAAGGAGGUGGGUGGUCCAGAGGCAGAACUCUGCCGCUGGCAAUAAGGACAGAAACGUGUUUGUUUGCUGAAGAUACCCCAAUAAUCAUGAGUACAAAUGGUCCCAUCUGUAUCUCUUUGGUAUGAACUGGGUCUCCUUUUGAAUGUAUGCAUUUAGCAAAAGCUGCAGCUUCUGGCCAGAAA